rnacentral:sRNA from 1 species
UUGUAGACCCUGGAGAAAGGCAUCAAUAUUUAUGCCCUGGACAGGUACAGCACAGGCAGCAACACUGCAAGCACACAUCCUCCUCCUCCGCUGUGUUCUCCAACACUGGAGGUUCGCCUUUAAGAGUAAAACGGGCUACUCACCUUUCAGUUUCUUCAGACAGUCAAAGGAGUCA